rnacentral:rRNA from 1 species
UAAAUCUAUACAACUUUCAACAACGGAUCUCUUGGCUCUCGCAUCGAUGAAGAACGCAGCGAAACGCGUAUAUGUWAUGUGAAUWGCAGAAUUCAGUGWAUCAUCGAAUCUCUGAACGCACCUUGCGCUCCUUGGUAUUCCGAGGAGCAUGCCUGUUUGAGUGUCAUUAA